GACAAACGCUGGCGGCAUGCCUAACACAUGCAAGUCGAACGGACAGAACAGGGAAGCUUUUCGGAGUGGAACUGGAAAGUUAGUGGCGGAUGGGUGAGUAACGCGUGGACAACCUACCUUGUAAAGGGGAAUAACCUCGAGAAAUCGAAGCUAAUACCCCAUAAUAACCUUGCUUCGCAUGAAGUAAGGAGGAAAGGCGGCCUUAGCGCUGUCGAUACAAGAUGGGUCCGCGUCUGAUUAGCUAGUUGGUGAGGUAAAGGCUCACCAAGGCGACGAUCAGUAGCCGGCCUGAGAGGGUGAACGGCCACAUUGGGACUGAGACACGGCCCAAACUCCUACGGGAGGCAGCAGUGGGGAAUCUUCCGCAAAGGGCGAAAGCCUGACGGAGCAAUGCCGCGUGAGUGAAGAAGGCCUUCGGGUUGCAAAACUCUGUCCUUAUCGAAGAGAGAGUGUUGUAGUAACUGACAAUACUAGGACGGUAGAUGAGGAGGAAGCCCCGGCUAACUAUGUG
rnacentral:rRNA from 1 species